UUUGAAAUCUGGCCCCCCCGGCGGGGGGUCCGAGUUGUAAUCUGCAGAUGGGCCUCCGGGCGAGGCGCGCGCGCCCAAGUUCCCUGGAACGGGACGCCGGAGAGGGUGAGAGCCCCGUACCGGCGCCGCGUCGAGCCGCCGCGAGGCCCAUUCGACGAGUCGAGUAGUUUGGAAAUGCUGCUCUAAUCGUGGGGUAAAUCUCCCAUAAGGCUAAAUACCGGCCAGAGACCGAUAGCGCACAAGUAGCGUGAGCGAAAGAUGAAAAGAGCCUUGAACAAGGGCGUCAAACAGCAUGUGAAAUUGUUGUGGGGGAAGCGCUCGUCGCCAGACGUGGCGGCGGCUGUUUACCCGGCGCUCGUCGCCGGCGCACUCGGUCGCCGCCAGGCCAGCACCGGCUCGCGCCCGGGGCCCAAUGCCGCGGGGAACGUGGCUCCCCCCCUCGGGGGGGAGUGUUACAGCCCUGCGGCGACGCCCCGGGUCGGGCCGAGGCUCGCGCAUCCGCACGGGUGCUGGCUUAAUGGCGCCUAGCGACCCGUCUUGAAACACGGACCAAGGAGUUGACCUGGCGCGCGAGUGUUCGGGUGUCAAGCCCCUACGCGCAGUGAAAGCAAACGCCGGUGGGAGCCCUCGCGGGCGCACCAUCGACCGAUCCCGAAGCUUCGCCGGACGGAUUCGAGUAGGAGCGCGCCGGGUCUGACCCGAAAGAAGGUGAACUAUGCAUGAGUAGGGCGAAGCCAGAGGAAACUCUGGUGGAGGCUCGCAGCGGUUCUGACGUGCAAAUCGAUCGUCGAACUUGUGCAUGGGGGCGAAAGACCAAUCGAACCUU
rnacentral:rRNA from 1 species